UGCAGAAUUCGCCUUAGAGUUUGAUCCUGGCUCAGGAUGAACGCUGGCGGUAUGCUUUACACAUGCAAGACGUACGAGAGUUUUUAACUCAAGUGGCGGACGGGUGAGUAACACGUAAGAAUUUGCCUUUAGGAGGGGGAUAACAACUGGAAACGGUUGCUAAUACCCCAUAUGCUUUCGAGUAAAAUGGAUUUUCCGCCUAAAGAGAAGCUUGCGGCUGAUUAGCUUGUUGGUGAGGUAAUGGCUCACCAAGGCGACGAUCAGUAUCUGGUUUGAGAGGACGAUCAGACACACUGGAACUGAGACACGGUCCAGACUCCUACGGGAGGCAGCAGUGGGGAAUUUUCCGCAAUGGGCGAAAGCCUGACGGAGCAAUACCGCGUGAGGGAUGACGGCCUAUGGGUUGUAAACCUCUUUUUUCAGGGAGGAAUCAAUGACGUGUACCUGAAGAAUAAGCAUCGGCUAACUCCGUGCCAGCAGCCGCGGUAAGACGGAGGAUGCAAGUGUUAUCCGGAAUCACUGGGCGUAAAGCGUCUGUAGGUGGUCAAAUAAGUCAACUGUUAAAUCUUGAGGCUCAACCUCAAAAUCGCAGUCGAAACUAUUCGACUAGAGUAUAGUAGGGGUAAAGGGAAUUUCCAGUGGAGCGGUGAAAUGCGUAGAGAUUGGAAAGAACACCGAUGGCGAAGGCACUUUACUGGGCUAUUACUAACACUGAGAGACGAAAGCUAGGGUAGCAAAUGGGAUUAGAUACCCCAGUAGUCCUAGCCGUAAACAAUGGAUACUAGAUGUUGAACAGAUCGACCUGUGCAGUAUCAAAGCUAACGCGUUAAGUAUCCCGCCUGGGAAGUAUGCUCGCAAGAGUGAAACUCAAAUGAAUUGACGGGGAAGGGC
rnacentral:rRNA from 1 species